AGAAAUAAUGUAACGAUAUUUAAACUAUCUCUAAGAUGUUGACAUUACAAGUUUAUUAAAAAGUUUAUUUAAAAAGUGCUAAUUGAUUCCUUGCUGAAAAAGAUAAACUGAGAAGCCUUUUCUUUUUUUUCGCUGAGCUAAUUGUGGAAAGACAUGAUAGAUCUUAACAUCGGAAAAAAGCCAGAAGGUCUGCUGCAUAUGGCAAAAUUUAUCAUUUGAAGGCUAAGGAGAAAAAGUUAUCAACUGGUAAUAUGGCUGAUGUUCAAUAGUGAAGAGGUGAAGCUUAGCCUUGCAAACGCAAAAUUUGAUCUUACUUUUGAGUGGCGCAAAAGUUUCUUUUUCUAGGACGAUACAAGUGUAGCUACACUUAGCUUAGGAGGAA